UCCGGUAACGCUGGAAAGGGGGCGGCGGAACCUGACGUACAACGAGCGGACUGGGCGAGGCGGUGCCAGUGCGAUCAGGAGCGAGCUCUCUUCCAGGCGACAACACCGUCUGGUCUGAUACCUCGCGUGCGGUUAAGAGCCGAUAUCGGCUAAGAUGUGAGUGGUCAAUAAUUUCAUUAAAUCCUCCGCAUUUGAACAUUGGAUGAAAUGAGAUAGCCAUAUUAUGUGUCCGUCAAUUCAAAAUGACAUUCAACUAAAACUUUGAGAAUAACCAUUCAUUAUUAAUCAGUCUUAUAGUCGAUGAGUGGAUAAGAAAAUUCGAAUUUUGAAAUGAAAUGUCAUUUUUAAAUUCCUCACUAACAGAUUGAGAUUCACCUCAUGUCCUCUAAUCAUGUACUGCACUCAUCACCUGUUUGAGAAGGUGUAAACGUCAUAAUUACCAUUUAUACACUGAUGAACGCAAAAUAAAAAAUAAACAAAUCUAUAAAUCAAAUAAGUAAAUCUACAAGUAAAUAAAUAAAUGUAGAAAUACAGAAAUGGCCAUUUUCAUUGCAAACUGCAUUUAUGUAUUUAUUUAAGUAUACGUACGUCAUUCCUGUCCUUCAUACCUCAUAACCUUUUUUCUGCU
rnacentral:lncRNA from 1 species